AGUGAACGCUGGCGGUAGGCCUAACACAUGCAAGUCGAACGGCAGCACAGUAAGAGCUUGCUCUUACGGGUGGCGAGUGGCGGACGGGUGAGGAAUACAUCGGACUCUACUUUUUCGUGGGGGAUAACGUAGGGAAACUUACGCUACUACCGCAUACGACCUACGGGGGAAAGCAGGGGAUCUUCGGACUUUGCGCGAUUGAAUGAGCCGAUGUCGGAUUAGCUAGUUGGCGGGGUAAAGGCCCACCAAGGCGACGAUCCGUAGCUGGUCUGAGAGGAUGAUCAGCCACACUGGAACUGAGACACGGUCCAGACUCCUACGGGAGGCAGCAGUGGGGAAUAUUGGACAAAGGGCGCAAGCCUGAUCCAGCCAUACCGCGUGGGUGAAGAAGGCCUUCGGGUUGUAAAGCCCUUUUGUUGGGAAAGAAAAGCAGCAGGUUAAUACCCCGCUGUUCUGACGGUACCCAAAGAAUAAGCACCGGCUAACUUCGUG
rnacentral:rRNA from 1 species